CUCAACAAUAUCACGACGUCGCAAACACGAAAUUAAAUCAAAAACCCUCCAAAGACUAUACACUUAUCAAUGUAACUAUUAUUCAAACCAUACAACUAUCCACGCUAUUAAUUCAUAUAAACUAACCGAUCACAUAACAUUUCAACAAUUUCAUCUCUACAAUUAUCCAUACUAUAAAUCAACUUUGACUAACCAACUAUAUCACAUUCUAGUAACCUCAUCUUUACAGUCAGUGGUUAUGGUACAGUUAGUAAGUG